GGGCAUGCGCAGAUCUUGGUGGGCGAGACGUUCCUUAGCUGCAGCCUCCAGGCUACAGAUUGUCCUUGUUUUUCCCCAAAUCAUCCCGUCUUCCCAACAGGAAGGUAACAUCCCGUCCUCCCAACAGGAAGGAAACAGCUGCAAUGGAGCUGGCUCAGGGGCUGGUGACCUUCGAGGAGGUGGCU